GCAGAGUUGGCUGAGUGGUCGAAGGCGCACGACUGGAAAUCGUGUUUAGGCUGAAACCUAACUAGGGUUCGAAUCCCUAACUCUGCGCCA
rnacentral:tRNA from 1 species